CUCACUUCGCUUUAAAUUUCUCUCUCAUUCUUUCUUCCAACUUUGAAAUCCUCUCCCUUUGCAACAGGUAGCAGUAAGAAGCAGCAGGUCGCAACAGAUAAUCAAGCACAUGAUCGAGGACGAUUGCGCAGAUAAUGUCAUCCCCCUCCCCAAUGUCUCCAGCAAGAUCCUUUCCAAAAUUAUCGAGUACUGCAAGAAGCACAUCGAGUUUGCCGCUGUCGCUGACACCAAGAAUGACAAGACAGCUGAGGAUGCCCUCUAGAAUGAUGACCCACCAAGCAAGGAAGAUCAUCCAUCUGAUAGUGGGAAGAGGAGUUGUGAAACGUGUUGAUUAUGAAGCCACAGGUGAAGUGAAGAAAGUGGUCGUUGAGAGGCUUAAUGGUGGAUGCACAAUGAUGAUUUCGUGUAUGAGUAAAAAUGAAAUUUAUUAUUGUUGAAAUGAAUUUUUAUUGUAUGUGUAUACAUCAGCGUUGUUGGCUCUAGAAUUCAUAAAUUAUUAUGCAAUGCAUUGAUCAUAAUUGGAUAAGAGUUGUUAAUUUGAUUCA